CCCACCCCCGCCAUCCUGCCACCUUUUGAUCAAGUGUCCUAUACUAAAACAUGCAUGGGUCUUGAAGACGGCUUCUCUUUGGUAUGAAUUCUGGCAACCAGGCACCAUCUGAGUAGCUUGGGAUCACGCAAAAAUUGCAGUGGACCCUGGAAUGCUGAACAUAUUUAAAGUGCUGGAAGUGCUGGGUAUGGUGAUACAUGCCUGUGAUCCCUGCAACUUAGGAGGCUGAGACAGGAGGACCACAAGUUUAAGGGAUCGAACCCAGGGUUGCACAUGCCAGGCAAGAACUCUACAGCUGAGGGGCAUCCCCAGCCUGACAACAGAGAGGCCUGUGUGUCCACCUCAGCUCUGCUCCUGAAGAAAGGCCAAGCCCUCCCUCCUGCCUUUAGGCCUGGGCCUCACACUUUUCCUGGGGCCUCUGGGCAGCCUUCCAGCCCCUGUACCCAUGAUUGACUCUGAGUUCCAGAGAUAGGAAAUGCAACCCGAGACGUGUGAAGAAAAAAAACAGUGUGCUUAUUGUCAUGGCCUCCACUCCUCCCUGGGCUCCCGGUAGGCUGUGUGUGCUCUGGGGUGUCUGCCCCGCCAUGGGGAAGAAUAAACCCAGACUCAAAUCAUAGGAAAUUCAUCAAAUGUGCUUCUCAGAGCUCUGUCUUUCAAGGUCUGUUUCCCUGCCAUAUGAUCUCUAUAAACCAAAUCACUGCUAGCCAGGGCACAGGACCAGAGGCGCCACAGGCUCAUGGAUAAUGAAUGCCAAAUGCAUGUGACAAUACACUGAUCAGAGAGCUGAAUGGAAAUUUCUGAGUUGUGCUCUUCUAUAUGCAUAAAUCCACACAUACCUAUGUGAACACGUGCAGCCCUGCACACAUGUUUGCACACCAAGCACAUGCACAGGCACAGGUCAAAUGCACAAUAUGUCUUAAUGUAUUAAGGCCAACUAUGGUCCUUGCUGCCAGACUGAGAUAACACACCUCUCAAUUACUCUGUUAAAUUAUCAAGACAAAAAAUCCUGUGGAUCAAAAGAAUAAAGUGAAAGAGACAAAAAAAAAAAAAAAAAUCAGAGCCCAGCUUAGCUGGGGACAUUGAACCUAGAAGAAUCAUGGAAUUAGAAAUCCAGGAUGCCUUGAGCCCAGGAACCAACACCAACACAGGACCCAGCACUCAAGCCUCAACUGAAAAAUGAAGAAUGAGGACUCAUUUGGGGGCACCAAAAGUAAAUUAGAGAAAUCACCCCAAAUCAAAUGAGCUAUUGUAUGAUCUUUUCCCAGUAAUGCUUUUAGCUCCUCCUCGGUGUGACCAAUCCCUUUACUCGCUUACCGGUUAACCAGCAUCACCAGGGAAGAGAAGAGAACACAGGACGGAAACUAGCAGGCCACCAGCUGAAGGCAAAAAGGACCCUGAAAUGUGUGUGCACAGGAGAACGUGUCCAUGUGGAGAUUCUAUUUUCUGCAGUUUGGCUAUAGUUAAGAAGGCGAUUGCUUUAACCACAGUUCAACCAGGAGCAUGAAACAUGCACUGCCUCUUUGACUUGCCAGAUGGAAGGAGGGGCAUCAGUGCUGACCAGAGACCCUACCAGCUGCCUUUUCAUAAACUUCUGGUUAAAUUCAUGGGGCAGAAAAAUCUUCCUAAAUAAUAAGAUAUCUAACAAAACAGAUUUCUGAAGCUCAGAUAAGUUUUGAUUUGCCUGAUUUCAUGCAGUUGGAGAAAUAAUGAUAAUAACAGUAACUGUUGCAUUGAGUCUUUACCAUAAACCAGCCUCCAUGCCAGGCAUAUCCAUAAAGAAUCCCUCUUAGUCCUCACAAUGGCUUGCAAUGUCAGCAAUUUUUAUUUAUUUUAAAAACAUAGCCCAGGGAGAUUGUUCAUAUUGCCAAAUGUCACACAGUUAGGAAGUGGCAGUGCCUGCUAUAAUUCAGGUCUGACUCACUGAAGCCCAGGCUAUUUCCUCUACUUUUUGUUCUCGCUAGCUGAAACAGGAGUGGCCUGUGCUGGGCAUCCAUGGGGUCCUGGAGUGACUGCAAGUCAUCUGCUGGGGUGCUGCUGGCAGGACCUGAGCACUUGAUAUGCUUAGAUCUAAGGGAAAGUCGGGAUCCCAAAUGGGAGCUCUCUGCCUGCAACAGGUGGGUCUUGGCAGCUGGCCUGCAGGCCUAGAUGGACCACAGACCUUUAUGAGAUUAUCUGCUAAUCAUAGCCUGGAUAUGCGCCCUUGAGAGGUGUCGCCUGAAGAAUGAGAUAUUUUUUUAUGAUGCAGUAAAAGAGAGGAAAUCUCCUUGGCCUCUCGCCUCGUCCAGUGCUCAAUUGCCUAUUUGUUACCUGUGACAUCUCUGCCCCUGGUGAUCCUCAUCUCCUAGCCUCAACACACUGUGUAAUCCCUUUCCCUUGAGGAUAGGCUGGACUUAGUGACUUGCCUUCAACAAACAAAAUAUGCCAAAGAUGAUAGUUGGCACUUCAAAGGUGAGAUUACUGAAGACUGUGACUUCUGUUUUGGUAGCACUCUUUCUUUUUCUGGCUAAUCUUCUGUCUGAUGAAGCUAGCUGCUAUGUUUUGACCUGUCCUGUGUAGAAGCUUGUAAGGCAAAUAACUGAGUGUGACUUCAGUGUGACAGCCAGCAAAGUACUGAGGCUCAGACUAAAAUGCUGUGGAGAACAGAAUCCGAUCAACAAUGUGUGACUGAGCUUAGAAGAGGGUCUUCUCCAGUUAAGCCUUGAGAUGACCAUUGUUCCAGUCAACACCGGACUACAGCUUCGUGAUCAUCCUAGAGCAAGAAGACCCAACUGAGCCAUAUCAGGAUUUCUGACCUAUACACUCCAAGAGACAAUAAGUUUUUGUUAUAUUGCAGUAGAUAACUAAUGUUUCCUUUGCCCAUUUUUCUGGUUUUUUUUUUAGGCAUUCUAUGUAACACAACUUAAUAUCAUUUUUAUGCUACAUAUGUCGCAAAUAUUUUCUACACCAGUCCUUCACUUAUGAUUACCCUUGGUUUGGGUUGCCUUUUAUUAUACCAGACUUUAAAUUUUUAAUGUCUUCAAGUGUAUAGUUCUUUUCUUCUAUGGCUUUUAAAUUUUACAUCUUACUUAAAAAGAUCUUAGCGAUACCAGAAUUGGAAGCAUCAUAAUUAUUUAUUAACUCCCUUCUCUUGACUUCCACUCUAAGUUCCAUGAGGGCUCUGAGACUGCUUGUCUCUGGAUUCACAGCCCCAAGCACAGUGGCUCACAGGGAACUGGCAUUCAGAAACACUUGAAUGCAUUUUGCAGACAGACUUCACCAGUCCACAUUCCUCCCUCUCUGUAAAUUCUCCCUGGUGUCUAAUCUCAGCUCCUGACUAAAGUGUGUGCAUAUCUCUGCUUUGUCUUUGCUGAGACAGAGAACAGAUACCUUUCCAGCCCCUCCCACAGCUUCCUUCCA